rnacentral:rRNA from 1 species
UACGGGGGGGGCAAGCGUUGUUCGGAAUUACUGGGCGUAAAGGGUCUGUAGGUGGCCAAUUAAGUCAGACGUGAAAUCCCUCAGCUUAACUGGGGAACUGCGUCUGAUACUGGAUGGCUUGAGUUCGGGAGAGGGAUGCGGAAUUCCAGGUGUAGCGGUGAAAUGCGUAGAUAUCUGGAGGAACACCGGUGGCGAAGGCGGCAUCCUGGACCGACACUGACGCUGAGGAGCGAAAGCCAGGGGAGCAAACGGG